GAUGAACGCUGGCGGCGUGCCUAAUACAUGCAAGUCGAGCGAACAGACGAGGAGCUUGCUCCUCUGACGUUAGCGGCGGACGGGUGAGUAACACGUGGAUAACCUACCUAUAAGACUGGGAUAACUUCGGGAAACCGGAGCUAAUACCGGAUAAUAUAUUGAACCGCAUGGUUCAAUAGUGAAAGACGGUUUUGCUGUCACUUAUAGAUGGAUCCGCGCCGCAUUAGCUAGUUGGUAAGGUAACGGCUUACCAAGGCGACGAUGCGUAGCCGACCUGAGAGGGGGAUCGGCCACACUGGAACUGAGACACGGUCCAGACUCCUACGGGAGGCAGCAGUAGGGAAUCUUCCGCAAUGGGCGAAAGCCUGACGGAGCAACGCCGCGUGAGUGAUGAAGGUCUUCGGAUCGUAAAACUCUGUUAUUAGGGAAGAACAAAUGUGUAAGUAACUAUGCACGUCUUGACGGUAUCUAAUCAGAAAGCCACGGCUAACUACGUG
rnacentral:rRNA from 1 species